GGUCUCCUCCAGGAAGUAGUAAAGACUCCAGAAACAACCCUUUCUCUUCUCCCUGCUCCCAUGAGUAACUGCAUUUGCUUUUGUAAUUCUUAAUGAGCAAUAUCUGCUAGAAAGUUUAGCUGUAACAGUUCUUUUUGCAAAAGAAUCAUUCUUAAAUAAUUAAAAGCACCCCCCCCCAAAAAAAGUCCAGAACCUUCCAAAGCAGAGAGCAUUAUAAUCACCAGAGCCAAAAUCUGUCCCACACCUCUACCACGUCCCCUCAUUAUUGCUUCUUCUGAGGCCAGAACACAGCAGAGAUAUUUGUAGGCCCUUUGGGUGGCUGAGCUACCCUUGGAGCUCUUGAAAGAUGAGCUGGGGAAGCCUCUGAGACCCUAUCCUAGGGUCUUGUUCUAGAGAGUAAUCAGUAUUAGUAGAGCAUCACAACAUUAUUCCCCAGCCUGCAUGGGAUGGGAGCAGAAGAGGCCAAAGGGUUGUCGUCAACGGCUACUUGGCCACUGACAGGUAGGUGACCAUGUAUGUCCAAGCAUGCUUUAUGGAUUAUGUGUGAUCAGCACCCAAGUUAGCUUCAUCUGGUGACCUCUAACCCUGCCUGGAUGGAGCAGGCUACCUGGUUCAAGGUUUCUGGGCAGCUGGACAAUGGAGUGCAAAAGGCUUGCAGAACUUGAAGCCUUUUCCUUACCUUGCUAGCACGUUUCCAUUUGAUUUGUCACUGCUUCAAUCAAUAACAGACGCUCCAGAGUCAGUAGUUGAUGAAUAUAUGACCAAAUAUCACCAGGACUGUUACUCAAUGUGUGCCGAGCCCUUGUGCUGGGCUCCCUGUGUACCUGGACACUGUAAUGUGUGCUGUGUUUGCUCUCCUUCCUCUUCUUUCCUUGCCCUUUCCUUGUCUUUCUGGGGUUUUUCUGUUUGGGUUUGGUUUGGUUUUAUUCUUCCUUUUGUGUUCCAAACAUGAGGUUCUCUCUACUGGUCCUCUUUAACUGUGGUGUUGAGGCUUCUAUUUGUGUAAUUUUUGGUGGGUGAAAGGAACUUUGCUAAGUAAAUCUCUUCUGUGUUUGAAAUGAAGUCUGUAUUGUAACUAUGUUUAAAGUAAUUGUUCCAGAGACAAAUGCUUCUAGGUACAUUUUUAUUACAAACGAAGCAUUGGAAGGGAGGGGGUGGUGAAUAAGACAAGAGGGGCAAUCUGAAGAGAUGACCCCUGCCCAGAUCAGCCAGAAGCUAUCAUAAGUUAAGCACUGGAUUUCCAUUCCAAGUCAAGAGACUGAAGCUGAUGUGUUGCCAUUUUCAAAGUCAAAGCAAAACCAGCUAGCUUUUCAACCCAGUGGAUUCUUUGCUUCCCCUUCCCAGAUUAUUACUACUAUUGUAAUAAUCUAGGAGUGCCAGGAGAGAAAGGGAUAUGAGAGCAGAGCUGAGCUCACUGAGUAUGGAAAGUCUUGGCCUGAGUUUUCAGGAGGAUGCUCCACUGUGGACACAGGGAGACGACAGAAGAUGAAUUAGCCUCUCCCUGUCUGAAAUACCUCUUAAUAGAUAAGCCAAGGCCAUGAACAUUAUUGUCUCCAAGGCAUAACCAGUCAGGACACUUGUGUCAAACACUAUGAUGUCCCCUAGUGCAUAGUAAUAAUCUGAUAUCUCUGCUCCCACCAUGCCUGGGGGAUAAAAUGAUAGCAGAGACUUCUCUCCUUUGAUGCUAUCUGAUUCCCAACAAAAUCUUGACAUGAGAUACCACCUUCUCUUCCUAUGGCAAACAUCUUCAGUAAAGUGUUAUCCUCAUUACAGAUUGUUCCAGGCUCUUGUAGAGGAACAGAUCUGUGCUCCCUUGUACCCUCAUGUGAGGACAGUGCUACCUGUAGUGACCAGUUGGCUAUGGUAGUUAUUAGCUGGAAGAUCCAGACAGGGUACAUCCCCCUCCUAAAUCCAUGUUGUACUUCUGUCUGCCAGCCUGGGGGGUUGGGGGGAAGCGAGAUCUAUAGGAUAAUGCGGCCAGUGACAAGCCACCCUGUAUUUGGCACCAGCUCAAAAACCCAUCUAAGGUUGGGACAGACAAGGCAGAGAGAAAGAUUCAGGACAGAUAUAGCUGGAGGGGUCUUGAAAAGCCCUCUGUGGUAUUCACCUUCAGUUUUUGUGCUUUGGGACAAUUACUUUAAAAAAUAAGUAGGUCGUUUUAAAUACAAAAUAUUGAUUGCUUUUUUGUAGUGUUCAAAACAAAAGGUUCUUUGUGUAUAGCCAAAUGACUGAAAGCACUGAUAUAUUUAAAAACAAAAGGCAAUUUAUUAAGGAAAUUUGUACCAUUUCAGUAAACCUGUCUGAAUGUACCUGUAUACGUUUCAAAAACACACCCCACUGAACCCCUGUAACCUAUUUAUUAUAUAAAGAGUUUGCCUUAUAAAUUUACAUAAAAAUGUCCGUUUGUGUCUUUUGUUGUAAAAUCAAGUGGUUUUUCAUAAGGUUCUUUUACUAUUUGAAAAGAUGGGCAGCACGCAGUUUCAUUUUAUUUUUGUAAGUUUUUUAAUACAUGUGAAAGCAAAGAAUACUCAGCAUGCCUUUCUAAGUGAUGCGUUUGCACCUUUUGUUGGGAAGUACUGUAUCCUGUGCUGUUAGCAUUCUCGAUAAAUCUCUCUGUGAAAGUG
rnacentral:lncRNA from 1 species